UACGAAGGGGGCUAGCGUUGCUCGGAAUCACUGGGCGUAAAGCGCACGUAGGCGGCUUUUUAAGUCAGGGGUGAAAUCCUGGAGCUCAACUCCAGAACUGCCUUUGAUACUGAGAAGCUUGAGUUCGGGAGAGGUGAGUGGAGCUGCGAGUGUAGAGGUGAAAUUCGUAGAUAUUCGCAAGAACACCAGUGGCGAAGGCGGCUCACUGGCCCGAUACUGACGCUGAGGUGCGAAAGCGUGGGGAGCAAACAGG
rnacentral:rRNA from 1 species